ensembl:lncRNA
CUGGGAAUGGCUGUGCCCAGCACUGUGCAGAGCACCCACUGGAGCCAUCUGGUGUCUCAUAGAGCUGCAGGCGCUGCCGGGCAGGGACAGCUGCACAGACAAACGCCGACCUCUGCCACUGGGCCAUCCAUCGUCCCACAUCUGGUGAGAGCUGGCAUCUGGCUGAUCUGCACUGAGGGUUUGGAAAAAAUGAGACUGGAAGAAGAGGGAAAUCCUUGAAAUUUUGGCAAAGCUGCUAGUGAAGUCUCGAAAGCUGCAGGCAGCUUUUCAAAUUUGAAGAUUACCUCUCUGCUGCAUAUUUUGUCCAAUAUCCAUGUUUUCAGUCCUCUGCAAGCAGGGCACUGUGACUGCAUACCUGGUCAUCAGGGAUGGUAAGAGAGAUAUUGGAGAACAACUG